AAGCAUUCAUUAACAUCAAAAGUAUUUAAAUAUUUUGACAUCAUUAAAAUCAAUUCUUCUGUCAACAGGUGGCUUGUGGUUUGGUGGAAAGAACCCUGCAGUGAGAGGGAAGAAGGAAAAGAGUAGGGGUUUGGAGGAUAAGGAGGAAGAGAAGGAAUAUGGCAAAGAAGGAAGCUAGCAAAGAAUGAGAAGGAGAAGGCUGAUGGAGGAGCUCAGGAGAGGACGAGGCUGGCGUACAUCUCUGGGCAAGGAGGUUAGAAAAGGAGGAGAAGUAGUGGAGCUUGGGGAAGGAGGAGGAGGAGGCUAGCCAAUGGAGAACAAAUGGUGUCUAAAGGUAGAACUCAAGGGAGGGGGAG
rnacentral:lncRNA from 1 species